rnacentral:rRNA from 1 species
UGCCAGCCGCCGCGGUAAUACGGAGGGGGCUAGCGUUGUUCGGAAUUACUGGGCGUAAAGAGCGUGUAGGCGGUUUAUUAAGUUGGGAGUGAAAUCCCGAGGCUCAACCUCGGAACUGCUUCCAAAACUGAUAAACUAGAGAAUGGUAGGGGAUGGCGGAAUUCCUAGUGUAGAGGUGAAAUUCGUAGAUAUUAGGAGGAACACCGGUGGCGAAGGCGGCCAUCUGGGCCAUUUCUGACGCUGAGACGCGAAAGCGUGGGGAGCAAACAGGAUUAGAUA